AUCAGAGGCCUUCAAAAAGCCUCAGGAUCGACGCUCUAAGCCUGAGCCGAUUCCUGUCGAGACUGCCCACAAGGCAGUUUGACAAGGUUACGACUGGAACGAAGUUGUCCCAAGGGACGGAAGCGUUGACGGUUGAUCGGACAGCUCCUGUGAGCGAAGCACAAAGGCAUCCACGAGCCAAAGUGCCCACUCAGGCCAUCCGGACUUUCUCCUUCCCCUCU
rnacentral:ncRNA from 1 species